GAAAAAUCGUUCCCGGAACACAUUCCUGGAUUACCGAUUAAAGUACGAGUUUGCGGGUUACCAGUCAUGCGUUCUUUUGGUUUAGCAAACGGGUGCUCGUUUAUCCACGAUACACAACCGAUGAUUCUUUUAUUAAGAAAUCUCUAAGAAGUUUUUCAAAUACUUGAGAUUUUCUUGGUACAAUAGAAGACAAAAGACUUUUAAGAACAAUUCACAAAAAAAUGAAUUCCAAUUAUCUUUUUGUCGAACAAAGAGAAUCUUAAGCAACAUGAACAAGUAGAAGAAACGAAAACAAGAAAGAAAUCGGGAGACAGAAAAAUGCCCGAAGCUGUAAGAAACACGUCUAAACAGGAAACACGUGCAGUUCGAAGCAACAAUGAAAAAAGGACAAAACUUGGCUGUUACAUGUGGGACACCCUUUAUUCGUCUAUCUAUUAACGCAAACUCGUAACGUGUAAAUUGGAUAGCUGCACGUUUAUCCAACGAUCUCUGCAUUUG